CUUUCAUGUAGAGAGGCUGAGGGAACGGCCCGAUGACGCCUCGGCAACCGGCGGAGCCCCGCUGCGGUGCCAAUUCCGUCCCGGUGGGCAGACCACAGGGAAAGAUGAGAG
rnacentral:ncRNA from 2 species